GAGUAAAUUAAUUAUUCUCUUAUCUCAAUUAACUAAUAACAUAAAACCAAAACAUGAAUAGGUUUAAGGUAUAUAUUUGGCAGCAAAUAUCGCGAACAAUGUAUCGCGGAGUAAAUAUUCAACAGUACAAGAUGUCAAAUUUAUGUUGUCCUCGACUGUGCCCUCGUCUCUUGGCAUGCCUUUGUGUGAUUGUAAAAAUCUGAAAUGACACUAUUAUAAAUGUGAAAAUCAUGUUGAAAUAUUUUUACAUCUACUGUGCUACAAAGCAGUAUAUUUAAAAUAAAACAUUUCACUUUAAAUAUGGAAAUAUAAUGAUAACUAAAUGAAUGUUAAAGCGGUUCCCUCUUAAGAGUUGAAAGCCUCGAACAAAUUUACCAAAUUAUCAAAUUUAUAACUGGGAGGGUAUGGAAGGGAAUAUCCGCCAAAACUUUAUGUAUCUAUAGGACAAUUGCAACACAUCUACGUGACAUGCUUAUUCCUGGACGUUGCUGUCUCGUUUGUUGUGUUUACUUCGUCUUGUUGUAUGUAUAUUAGGUUAUGUUUCUUCAAUGCUACCUAGUCAUAUCCACCAAAACUUUAUGUAUCUAUAUGACAAUUACAACACAUCUACUGACAUGCUUAUUCCUGAACGUUGCAGUCUCGUUUGUUGUGUUUACUUCGUCUUGCUGUAUGUAUAUUAGGUUAUGAUUUUUCAAUGCUACCUAGUCAUGUUAAUACCUUCAUUCAUCACGCCUUUUUAUGCUUAGCAUUUCAUUGCUCAUUCUUCUUACCAAGUAUCAGAUCUAUCAUGCAUGUUACCCUGUUCAUGUGUGUCCUACUUUGAAUUACGGUCAUUCGUUCGACUUUACACUACAAUAAAUUUUGCUAGGUCCUUUCUUGUUUGUUUCCCCCAGUGUCUAUUUAACUAAAACUAUAACACAUAUUGAUUUAAGAAGCAGCUGAAGUCAAGCACUACAAUGAAACAACAAUGCACUAACAUGGAUGGAAUUAACACAUAUGGUCUGGCAUAUUUUGAUACCAGGUGUCGCGGUUAACCGUAUGACAAAUAAUAGCUUCUCCCUAUUGAACAAAGCUUUCAUGACGUGCUAUUCUCACGUAUGCGCGGUACACCGUAAAGGAAAGGAGGGAAAACAGACUUAUGAUGAGUAACCAAAUAAGAGCAGCAGAGUUUCUGAGAAAGGCGGCAGAGGCAUUAGACGCUGAAAUGUCUGCUACAACUACCACUACAUCAUGUAGUAAGAGUUACAGCUCCAUCUACGAUUGGAUCAAUAAGGAGUAUUUUUACUCCUUAUAAUCGGUCAAAUUACAGGCCAGCAAAUCCUAGAAACAGGACUAGAAGGGAACCAAUAUCAUACUGGUCCCACAGAUUCUGUUUGUUGGCGAGUUCAAAACAGAUCACAGCACCUACAAGAGAAGAAAAGCUGGAGUUAUAUGAUGCAGGCCUUGGUGAAAAGAAAAUAACUUUUAUAAAAGAUAGCCUUCCACAGGAUUUACUACGAUUUAUUUGGCAAAUGAAAGUAACUUGGGACAAGCCCUAUGCUAUAUAAGGCCGAUACAAAAAGACCUUGAACUUUAUAUAGGAAGUACGCAGGAAGUUGGAACACUCGGAGCCUACAGAAUCUGAUGUAACAGAACAGUGUAUUGAUUGCAAUCAAAUGAUACCUUUGUCUUCACUGAGAAGCCAUAAGGAAAUUUGUAACAGGACACAAGUACAUGUACAUUUGGAUGUAGAGGAUGUAGAACAUACAGUACGAAAGAGAAGAAAAUGUGAACCAGUCCAGCCGAUCUGCCAGUAUGCUUGUGUAAGCACCUUCAUUAUAAAUACAAUUCAUAUUUUCUUUUUAGCUCACCUCGGCACAAAGUGCUCAGGGUUAGCUAUUGUGAUUGCUCACCGU
rnacentral:lncRNA from 1 species